rnacentral:rRNA from 1 species
GAUGAACGCUGGCGGCGUGCUUAACACAUGCAAGUCGAACGAAGCAUUUGCGACAGAUUUUUUCGGAAUGAAGUUGCUUAUGACUGAGUGGCGGACGGGUGAGUAACGCGUGGGUAACCUGCCUUGUACUGGGGGAUAGCAGCUGGAAACGGCUGGUAAUACCGCAUAAGCGCACAAUGUUGCAUGACAUGGUGUGAAAAACUCCGGUGGUAUAAGAUGGACCCGCGUCUGAUUAGCUAGUUGGUGAGAUAACAGCCCACCAAGGCGACGAUCAGUAGCCGACCUGAGAGGGUGACCGGCCACAUUGGGACUGAGACACGGCCCAGACUCCUACGGGAGGCAGCAGUGGGGAAUAUUGCACAAUGGAGGAAACUCUGAUGCAGCGACGCCGCGUGAGUGAAGAAGUAAUUCGUUAUGUAAAGCUCUAUCAGCAGGGAAGAUAGUGACGGUACCUGACUGAGAAGCUCCGGCUAAAUACGUG